UACGUAGGGGGCAAGCGUUAUCCGGAUUUACUGGGUGUAAAGGGAGCGUAGACGGCGCGGCAAGUCUGAAGUGAAAGGCAGGGGCUUAACCCCUGAACUGCUUUGGAAACUGCCAUGCUAGAGUGCUGGAGAGGUAAGUGGAAUUCCUAGUGUAGCGGUGAAAUGCUUAGAUAUCAUGAAGAACUCCGAUCGCGAAGGCAAGUGUCCGGGGUGCAACUGACGCUGAGGCUCGAAAGUGCGGGUAUCAAACAGG
rnacentral:rRNA from 1 species